CGCGUGGGUAAACCUGCCUCAUACAGGGGGAUAGCAGCUGGAAACGGCUGGUAAUACCGCAUAAGCGCACGGUAUCGCAUGAUACAGUGUGAAAAAAUCCCGGUGGUAUGAGAUGGACCCGCGUCUGAUUAGCUGGUUGGUGAGGUAACGGCCCACCAAGGCGACGAUCAGUAGCCGACCUGAGAGGGUGACCGGCCACAUUGGGACUGAGACACGGCCCAGACUCCUACGGGAGGCAGCAUGGGGAAUAUUGCACAAUGGAGGAAACUCUGAUGCAGCGACGCCGCGUGAGUGAAGAAGUAGUUCGCUAUGUAAAGCUCUAUCAGUAGGGAAGAUAGUGACGGUACCUGACUAAGAAGCUCCGGCUAAAUACGUG
rnacentral:rRNA from 1 species